CGCCCAGGGAGAAAGAGAAAGAACUUCAUGUCUGUGCGAUACCAAAAGCUGUUGCAGUGUUAUAUGGAGCUGACAUAUGCUGGAGGAUCUCGUUUCUCACGUCACUCGGAGCAAACACUGCAGUCAACAGAAUCUUCUCGCUCACAAACAUGGGUGAUGGGGACCACCUGCAGGCUAUUCCUCGCCAUUUAGAAUUGUCAUCGCCACCCAUGCCAUUAUCUGUCACAAACCUCCUGAAUGAACGCAACCGACUGGGGGCCAGUGGAGAGCUGGACAAUGCAACUCGGCGGUGUUUCAAUCAUGCCAUGCAGCUCCUGAAUGUCCAGUCCAACAGAAUACAGGACAAUACCACGCUGGUGCUUGACUAUGGCAUGGUCUCUGAAAAGAGUCAUCUACAUUGUUUGAGUGAAAUUAAGCAUGCGCAUUAUACAGAACGGAGAAGGUUCUAGAAGAUCAUGAACGCCUCACCUUUAUGAGGUAAUGCCCUAAUUUUCAUGGGGAGUUGUGUGCAGAGAGAGGAGUCUCCGUUGUUGUAGUCUCUGUGAAGGGAGUGGUCCAGCAGAGCGGUCUCUGUGACUGAAGCUUGUUUGUCAUGGGCAUUCAGCUUUUCAUCUUCCCUUGGUCCAUCAUCAUCAGUUAUUGUGGUCAUCUGUCCCUAGAUCCCUAACUAGGCCGGAGUAAUUGAAGAACACACUUACCUGAGACAGAGGAGCGCCAAGGAAUUGGGUAAAGUAUCACCUUCCCAUGUGUAAGUGUGGGACAAGCUUGGGUGUUGCUAGUUGUGGGAGAAGUCCUGGGAGCAGUAGGGGUGUCUGUGUGGUUAUGUUGGGAGGUGAAAAUCUGUUCUUGCACAUAUUUGCAUAUAAAUGCUAUUAUCUGUGUAUAACCUUGCUAAUAGUUGUACUAAAUGUUGAACCAUUUGUAUGCUGUUCUGUGCUGAUGUGUUUGAUAUUUGGUGUGAUACCAUAUAGGUGUGUUAUACUUACCAUUUGAGUCUUUUGUUUUUCCGCUCUUUUUCCCAAAACCUAUAUAUAAGGUUUGCUGGACACCCCACCUUUGUCAUAAAUUUGUCAAACUUCAAUAGCAACACUUGUAAGUUAUCCAGCCACCCUCUUCUUAUCUGGCAGAGAUGUAGUUAUUUGGGUCCCACAUUAAUUAAAAUCUCUCUGUUCUCCAUAUUUGGUUUAACCAGUCAACCAGUCAUCAUAUUAAUUGGCCUCAAACUCUGCCAGCCGGUAAGUGAAAAACUACAGUUUCCCACAUUUUUCUCCUUUAAAGGAGAAUCCAUUUUUAAAGUUUGUUCAUGACCCUUUCAUAUAUUCUUAUGACCCACUUUUGGGUCAUGACCCAUGGCUUGAGAAUUUAUGCUCUACAGGGUCCCAGACCCAGGCUGACAGCCUUCCCAGGAGACUUUUCUAGGAAAAACAUGAUUCUGUUCAAUACUAGAGGAGGCCCAAGUUAAAAUGUGGGGAAAGACAUCAAAUAGAUGACCCACUCAUCUCUAACUCGGAAGCCGCUGGAUACUAGAUGUAAAAGUGUCGUUAAUUCCUUUUGAAGUCAGUGGAGAAGUUCAGGAGAUGGUCUCGGAGUAGGAAUGGGUGUGUGGGCCUUGUCAAUAGCUGACUCAGGUCUGGAGGGAGGAAUGUAACUGAACCUCUUCCCAGUCAGGAAUAACGUAACUAAAGUCAUGGCUGGCUCUUUCCAGCUUCUACCCUGAUGGAGGCCAAAAGGAGUUUUCCCUGUGCAUCUAGAACUGGCAACAUUGCCUUAUGCUUUCACUUUUAUUUACUUUAGAUGAAGCACUCGACAGUGGCAGUCAAAGUUGCGGAAGAUACCUUUGGCCAUUGUUAAAAAAGGUCCGUGACUCAUCA